UAAGGGACCUCUGAUUGCCUGUGAGCAGU
rnacentral:piRNA from 1 species